UGCGGAAGGAUCAUUACCGAAUUGUCAACACGAGUUGUUGCUGGUCCUCGAAUGGGGGCAUGUGCACGCUCUGUUUACACAUCCACUCACACCUGUGCACAUUCUGUAGUUCUGUGGCUUGAGGGCCCCCCCCGUCCUCUCGCUGUGGUUCUAUGUCUUUACACACACACACCGCAAUAAAGUCUCAUGGAAUGUAGUCGCGUUUAACGCAAUAUAAUACAACUUUCAGCAACGGAUCUCUUGGCUCUCGCAUCGAUGAAGAACGCAGCGAAAUGCGAUAAGUAAUGUGAAUUGCAGAAUUCAGUGAAUCAUCGAAUCUUUGAACGCACCUUGCGCCCUUUGGCUAUUCCGAAGGGCAUGCCUGUUUGAGUAUCAUGAACACCUCAACUCUCAUGGUUUACCAUGAUGAGCUUGGACUUUGGAGGUCUUGCUGGCCGGUGGCCGGCUCCUCUCAAAUGAAUCAGCUUGCCAGUGUUUGGUGGCAUCACAGGUGUGAUAACUAUCUACGCUUGUGGUUUCCCGCCAGGUAACCUUCAGUGAUGGAGGUUCGCUGGAGCUCACAAAUGUCUCUCCUCAGUGAGGACAACUUUCUGAAUGUUUGAUCUCAAAUCAGGUAGGACUACCCGCUGAACUUAAGCAUAUCAAUAAGCGGAGGAAAAGAAACUAACAAGGAUUCCCCUAGUAACUGCGAGUGAAGCGGGAAGAGCUCAAAUUUAAAAUCUGGCUGCCUCUGGCCGU
rnacentral:rRNA from 1 species